GCCUGGGUGGCUCAGUCGGUUGAGAUUCUGACUUCAGCUCAGGUCGUGAUCUCACGGUCUGUGGGUUCGAGCCCGCGUCGGGCU
rfam:Felis catus isolate Cinnamon breed Abyssinian chromosome B1, whole genome shotgun sequence.